ACAAGUGGUUCCCGACAUUUGGAAACAACAACUAAAUGUUGCUGAACCCAACUAGCAAAUUACUUUGCGACAAGUGGACUCAAAUGUCAGCGACGUAAAGACUUCCAGUUAACGACGAGUGGACUCCCAGGCAAUCGACGUUUGGACUCCCGAGUAAUUGACGUUUGGACUCCUUUUUUCUUUUUCUGGUUUUCUUUCUUUUGGAGUGUUCUCUACGACAUAGGAACUCCUGAUCCAGCGACAAAGGGACUCCCAAUCCAUUGACGCAUGGAUUUUCAGAGUUAUUUACGCUGAAGGAUUCUUAACCACAUUGAAGAAAAUUUGAAUAACAAUUAUGUGAAAAUUGUAUAUAUAUUUGAAAAUUCUCUCAUACCUACUCCAAGAUUGCUCAACUGAACAUAAUCCUUGCUAGUUGGAGUUUUCUCUAUGUUGUGGCAUGGAAGCAACAGAAUUUGCGUUUGAUGGCUCUCCUAUUUUUGCUAAUUUUUUCCCUGGCUAUCAUAUUCUGUUUCAAAUAAUAGGAACAAUAUAAGCAACCAGGUUUUUCUGAUAUGUUCACCUUUGCGGGUAAAACUAUAGGGACUGCAUCUGCGCCAUUAAGAGUUACGCCUAAAUCACCAUUAACAUUAAUGUUUAUUUCAAACUUGCCACUGUUUGCAUUCUGAUUUAUUGAGCUAACUUGGGCUGUUGCCUCUGGAUCAGUACUAGGGCUUACACUUUGUGCUGUAAAUAACAAUGUAAUACAUUCAUUAAUUUCACAA
rnacentral:lncRNA from 1 species